rnacentral:lncRNA from 1 species
CUAUGUCAACAAAUCAAUACCCAUCAGUAGCUUGUGAAAUUCAAACUCAUACAAAAAUAGCAGCGCAACAAAUUACAACCAUAGACAUCGGAUUCAAUAUGAAACAUAGGAGAUUAGAAGUAACCUCAAAUUAGCUCUCCAAUUAAUUGAAAUGCGGAAGUUACACGGAUUGAAAUGAAGCGACGAACAGUUCCCUAUGAAUUCCAACGUAAGCAGCAACAACUUCGUCGCUGAAUGCCUUGCAACGGAAUUUAGCUCGUCAACUGCUCUACAAUCAGGGGCGAGAUGUCCGACUGCAGAAUUUUCAAUCCGCAACAUCUGUCUGAGACACAUCAGUAACUCCGGACAAGAAUCACAAACUUAAUACUCGACUGGUAACUCACGCUCGUCAGCUCCAAAUGAAUCUCGCGCACGAGAUCCGAAAUGGACUCAAAUUGACGAAAUUCUAGCAGCAAAAUGAGGCUUAAGAAUUGAAAUUAUUUUCCAACAGCAAAAUGAGGCUUAAGAAUUGAAAUUAUUCAGAAACUAAAGUUUUCUUCAAAUUUCUUCAAGUCUCAACACUAGAAAAUUCAAUUGUCGAACAAAUUUUAUUGAUGAACUAAAUUUUAUCUAUACAUGUGUAUUGUGGCGUGUGUAUUGUAUUGUGCAUUCUCCUAUGUAUCUUCGAGCUUUUUCAAGGAGAAACAAAGCUGCCCCCCUUUUUGUUCCAGGCACCCCCUUUUUUGUUCUGUAUAUUUGUGUCUCUUGUGUAUAGUGUUCCAGGCGCCCUCUUUUUUGCACAAAUUUGGGUUCUCUUUGCUGAAGAAGAUGAAGAACGAGGGUGGGGUUCCUCUGCGCAGCUCUUUUUUGCACAAAUUUGUGUUCUCUUUGCUGAAGAAGAUGAAGAACGAGCCUCUGCGCAACUCUUUUUUGCACAAAUUUGGGUUCUCUUUGUUAAUUGAAUCGGGUUAGGGAUUUUAGGUGGAGAAAUGGGUUUGGGU